CCUACGGGAGGCAGCAGUGAGGAAUAUUGGUCAAUGGGCGCGAGCCUGAACCAGCCAAGUAGCGUGAAGGAUGACUGCCCUACGGUUUGUAAACUUCUUUUAUAAAGGAGUAAAGUGAGGCACGUGUGCCUUUUUGUAUGUACUUUAUGAAUAAGGAUCGGCUAACUCCGUGCCAGCAGCCGCGGUAAUACGGAGGAUCCGAGCGUUAUCCGGAUUUAUUGGGUUUAAAGGGAGCGUAGAUGGGUUGUUAAGUCAGUUGUGAAAGUUUGCGGCUCAACCGUAAAAUUGCAAUUGAUACUGGCAGACUUGAGUAUAGUUGAGGUAGGCGGAAUUCGUGGUGUAGCGGUGAAAUGCUUAGAUAUCACGAAGAACUCCGAUGGCGAAGGCAGCUUACUAAACUGCCACUGACAUUGAUACUCGAAAGUGUGGGUAUCAAACAGGAUUAGAUACCCCGGUAGUC
rnacentral:rRNA from 1 species